CGCCCCGCGCCCCUCAGCCGCGGCCCCGCCCCCAGGGCUUUGGGGAGGAUUUCCCGAAAAUCGGCUCUAGGUCUGGGAAGGAGUCAACAAAUCCAACCCACAAGUAGAAAGGUUUUAUCUUCUGGCAGAGAGUGAGUGGAACCUGACGUAGCUGUGACACCUGGCACUGGCCUCAGACACCAACCCUAUGAGAUGAAAAGGCUUCUGAGAGAUGCAGCUUCACCUGGCAUUCCCAGGGGAGUUCACAACUGGAAGGUGAUGCCCUGUCCAAGGCGGUUGCUGAGGAAAAUCUCAGGACACUUGGCCAUGGUGGAAACAUUGGGUGCUGUUUCUUCCACUCUGGGGCAACAUGAAGAUGUGAUUGAAAAUUGUAGGCAUGCAAGGAGGUUAAUUAAAUCUGUUUGGGCAACGGUCUUCUUUAUAAGAGCUUAAUUUUGCAGUCUUGUCAAACACACUUUUUACCUGGACUUGGUGAAUCGAGUGGGCUGUACUUGCUUCUGGUCACCUGUGCCCAGGGUAGUUGUCUUAGACUUGCUUAGUCUGUUUCCUGACAGUCAUAUUGUUUUCAUCUGGAAGCUGCAAAUGAUGGGGGUUUUUGUAUUGUGUGUCUGGGCACAUGAACUCCCUUUUUAUCUGUCCUGAUCCAGUAAAAGAGGUAAGCUUUGAGGUGGUGAACCACUCAUCUUCCUCCUUGAAGAUCAAAGAUGGACCUGCCCCACUCUGCCAGGCAGGAGCAGGCAGGAUUCUCUGUGCUGGCCUCAUACGGAACCAAUACUGGAGGGGUGGCAGCUGCAGGAGGGCUGAAACUGUUCAGGAGACCCUGGGCAAGAGGGCAGGGAGAGGCAGGGCAGAGCCCCAGGGCCGUGAGAUGAGGAACUGAACCAGGACAGGGAGGAGGUGGCUGACAUUUGCCGCUGCAGAUAACAUUUCCCCACCUUGCCUCCCAUUUCAUCAGCAGCAAAUUGCUUUGCCCAUGUCACAGGAGUGACGCUUUAAAUGGACUUUACAGUGAAAUGGCUUGAAAAGCAUCAGGGUGGUACCCUGGCAGACCUGACAGGGUCUCCACCAUAGUGUGGAAGUGACGUGCAGCUCCCAAAGCCACUGGCUCUGGGCACAGACCGUAGGGACAUCAGUCACCACAUGGUGCUUUGACCUGUGCAGCCCCCUGAGCCAGAGCCCAUCAUCAUCCUCAGCUGUCUGCAGCAGGAGCAGGAGCACUUCAGAAGUUAAUUAAAUUCCCACCCCCCACCCGAUCUGCUCCUCCUCUUCCCAGUGCUCCACUUUGCUGCUUCAAACCGAGCAGCGGGAGAGAGGAGGGAGUGUAAUUAUUUAGCUCCUUAGAGCCAGCUCUACAGUGCUUCAAAGCUUGUUAAUUACAGUUUCAGCCGCGUGAGUCAAUGGAGGACCAGAGAGGCAUGUGGGGAGUGGGGGGCACGGGCUGAGGGAGGGGAAGUGAACUUCUGUGAAGUCAAAGCCACCAAAGCUGACAGUCAGGAGAAGCAGGGUGAAAAGAGCCAAAGGCUCGGGUGUAUAGGAACCUGGGAGAGAGCCAUAGGGAGUGGAGGGCAGCUGGAACAGAGGGAGAUGGAGAGAAGAGGGCAAAGAUGGAGCUGUGUAGGGAGUGGCAUGGGGUGACAGGGACACAGGUUAGGCACCAAGGGAUGCUGAGCACUGGCGCCACAGCAGCGUGUCCUUUGUGCCCACCUGCCUUCUCUGGCAGAGCAGGUAACUGCAUGGGCACUGGACCAAAGCACUGACAGUGCCAUUGGGUAGGGCAUGGCUGCUGGAGGACAGAAUGAACCUUACAGCAUAUUGACCCUUGUCAGAGAAAAUAUUUCCCUUCCUCAAUCACUUUAAUUGUCUCACUAAAUGAGCAAAAUAAUUGCAACGGUGUUCUGCCUCUCUCCCAGUUCCAUUAGAUUAGAAUCCCCAGCAUUUUAAGGGCAAAACCUGUAACAUCACUCCUGUGAUGAAAAGAGGAGAUAAUUGUCCUGAGCUCCUCUCACUCCUGAGGCAGCCUCUGCUACAGAACAACACUUCUAUGGUCCCUGGGCUGAGGGUCCUGGGAUUGAGCGGAGAGGCUACCUUUCUGAACCUCCAUAGUUUCUGAAAAUAAUUUAUUGAAAAGAGGGUGCUGGUGGUAAGAAUGUUCAGAUCCUCCGUGGGAAACCAUAUAGGGCUUGUCUGCAGCAUCUGAAAUUAAUGUAUGUGUAUUUCAUCUUUGACAGAAGUGAAAAGACAAUUCAAAACCAGAAAAGAUUCUGUGCUUGAAGACUUGGUGCUGCACUGCCCAUAGUUCUUAGCUUUGACUUCUUGAUUUCAAUUUUCUUUUGCCUGGGCCCAGUCUCUGUUUCUCUCUUUUACUGGAAAAUUUCCCUUAAGGAAGCACUGGUGAUGGCCCAAGAGACAAUGUGUGAAUGCUUUGCAUUAUGUACUGCUUUGACAUUUGGCAUUCCCAUGGCAUUUUCUCCAUUAUCCCCCAUCAAUGCGAAAUAAGCUGUCAGAGCAUGAAAUUGGUACUUUUACAUAUUCUUAAUGUACAGAUGUCAGUCUGAAAGCCAUGCACAAGCAUUAUGAUUAAAUUCUCUGUUUCAUCCCUUCACUUAUGCAUGGAUCUCUUUGGAAGACUUCAUCCCUUUUGGGGGGUUAUUGCAAAAAGGCACAACCUUAAAAAGUAAUAAUCCUGCUUAGUAGCACUAUCAGAAAGUGAAGGAUAAGUUUAAGACAUUGUGCACUGAAUGCAUUAUAGACACACAAAUGCAGAGCAGUAGUGUUCAAAUUUUAGCACCUGUGUUCCUGGCAUGGCAGCAGAAAGUGAACAACAGGUACCAGAUGCAUAGAGGGAAUAUAAUCAGUGACCCACUUUCUGGUGCCAAAUGCCUCAACAUGUUCCAAAUCAAAUCUGCUCAGAGUUUACAAGUUUGUUAUUCUGUGUUAAUUAAAAUGUAAGAAUGGCAGUGCCUUAUGGGAGGAUGAUUACGCCUAAACAUAAUGUACAUGGAGAGAGAAGAAGAAGGGCAUGACAGAGGAUCCACCCAGCACUCCAGAUUGCUUGAUGUCAUUGGUUUGAUCGCAAAUACAAAAGGAUGGGGAAGAAAGUCACCUGCCUGAAAGUAAAUCACCUGCUCCACCCUCUGCUCUCAGCUGGUCUCAAGGAUUUGCUCUGCAGCAGCAGUGAAUAUUGGUGCCAAAUGAGACCAGAAUGGGGGAGUCCCCAUUGUUAGGAGCUCCCAAGAAGAGGAUGAGUAAAGAGCACAGCAUGCUCAUCUGUUCUCAUAGCUGGCCCUUCUGUGAGCAGAGGAUUAUUUAGAGAGUUCUUGAGGUCCCGUGCUCCUGAAUGGUCCUGUGACCCCAUUUUCUGGGAGGCAGAAGGUUGGAGCAGGACGGUGUCGGCUUCUGUAUGGUAGACCUUUCUGCUGGAGUUCUGAGAGUUUGUCCAAACAGCCCUUAAGGCUGUGUGGAGGUGUGUCCUGGAUCUCUGCUCACCUUGCCUGGAGGCGUGGCAGGAGUCCACGAGCAUCAGCAGGAUAACGUGCUGCUCCUCCAGAUUUCUGGUUUGCAGUCAAAUCAGGAGAAAGGCCAAAAGUCUGUUUUUUCUUCAUGUAAACCCAAAACCAGCCCAUGGACUGUUUUUAGCUGAAUUUCCCUAAACAAUGAAUUAUGCACCUGUGUCAUCAGUCCUUGCUUGCUCCUCUUCCCUGUCUUGCUUUCCACCCUACCAGAAGCUUGUGGUGUAGAAGCCACCAGCUCCAGUCAGGUGUAACCAAAAGGCAGGUGACAAUGUGUGCAACUGCUGCCAGGGCUGGCCACACGGCCUCUGCAGGGCCUGCAUGUCCUGGGCUCUGAGGCUCUCUGAAAAAUCCCACCAAAAUCUCUCUCACCAUAAAAGAUCUGUCCCAGCCAGUGGAAAGUCUGCUGUGAUCUCUUGUGCUGACAGACAAGCACUUCCAGUAUGGGGUGUUCACCACUCCCAGGUGCAUAGCACCUUCCACAGCUCACCUGUUCUUUUGGAAGGCGAUGGAAUAUUUUUCACCCUCUGUAGGAAUUUCUGAACUCUAAAUUUCUGAAAUUAAGCAUUGAACAGGGACUUCAUGAAAGCAUGAAGAGGAGUUGUCCCAGGAAAGUCACUUCUUCCCCCAGAAUUAAUAUUUCUCUUCCCCUGCUCAGCUGCCAGCCUGAACAUCAGUCUGACUGGGUAAUGCAGCAGCCAGUUUUCCAGCUGGAUGACUUCCAUCAGGCCAGUGGGGCUCACUGGGCUGCAUCCAGCUGCAGAGUCCUUUGGGCAGACCCCGUGCCUGUGGGGGUUCCUCCCUCCAGGGCAUCAGAGCAGGAUGAUCUGCAUGCAGUGCCUCUGUUCUGCUGCUAAACACAGCCUAACACAAACUCGGAAAAUGAGUCUCUGCUGGGAAAUGAACCAAAGCCAAGCAGUUCCAGUGAAGCUUAGGCACUGCCCUGGCAAAAUCACUCCCUUGCACAUUUUGCCCAGGAAACAACAGGCAGGACAGCCUUUCACUGUGAGCAUGAGGGACAGUGAUCCACCAUACAACCACAGGCUACCCUCCAGUGCACUUCACAGGACUGCAGGUCUCCUUCACCAGAAAAAGAUGUAGAUAUGAGCAUAUGUUAUUUUUUCUGUGAAAAAAGGCAGUCUGGACCCUAUGCAUGCAGUGUUCUGUCACUUCCAGGAGCCUGGGGCCUUGUGACCCAAGGGGCUGCAGGUCCAGCUACAAAUAUGUGUAUUGUCAGGAACAGGCCAGAAAAGGACAAAGUAAUCUAGCAGCAAUGGUAAAAGGCUAUCCUGAACUGGAGGACCACUUUCAUUUACUGCAGAAAAUGUUUGUUUUUCUAAACAGGGGCAUGAAGUUAAUCCUCAUAAGGAGAAAUCUAAGUCCUGUGCUACUCUCCGCAGGAUUUCUCCUACUUCAUUAAACUCUGACAUCUCAAAGGGCAAAUCCACAUUGUCAUGUGCCACUUGUGCUUGAAUAAAAUGUGUGUAUCAGUGCUUAA